rnacentral:rRNA from 1 species
GAUGAACGCUGGCGGCGUGCCUAAUACAUGCAAGUCGAACGCUGGAGAUCUAGCUUGCUAGAUCGAAGGAGUGGCGAACGGGUGAGUAAUACAUAAGCAACCUACCCACGAAGACUGGGAUAAUCUCUGGAAACGGGGACUAAUACCGGAUAGGUAAUCGGAAGGCAUCUUCUGGUUAUUAAAGGUUAAAAACACUGGUGGAUGGGCUUAUGGCGCAUUAGUUAGUUGGUGAGGUAACGGCCCACCAAGACGAUGAUGCGUAGCCGGCCUGAGAGGGUGAACGGCCACAUUGGGACUGAGACACGGCCCAGACUCCUACGGGAGGCAGCAGUAGGGAAUUUUCGGCAAUGGGGGCAACCCUGACCGAGCAACGCCGCGUGAGUGAAGACGGCCUUCGGGUUGUAAAGCUCUGUUGUAAGGGAAGAACGGUAGAUAGAGAAUAUCUAAGUGACGGUAUCUUACCAGAAAGCCACGGCUAACUACGUG